rnacentral:rRNA from 1 species
CACGUAGGGUGCGAGCGUUGUCCGGAAUUAUUGGGCGUAAAGAGCUCGUAGGCGGUGUGUCGCGUCGGCCGUGAAAACCUGCAGCUUAACUGUGGGCUUGCGGUCGAUACGGGCAUCACUGGAGUUCGGCAGGGGAUACUGGAAUUCCUGGUGUAGCGGUGAAAUGCGCAGAUAUCAGGAGGAACACCGGUGGCGAAGGCGGGUCUCUGGGCCGGAACUGACGCUGAGGAGCGAAAGCGUGGGGAGCGAACAGG